CUCGGCAACGGAUAUCUAGGCUCUCGCAUCGAUGAAGAACGUAGCAAACUGCGAUACUUGGUGUGAAUUGCAGAAUCCCGUGAACCAUCGAGUCUUUGAACGCAAGUUGCGCCUAAAGCCAUUAGGCUGAGGGCACGUCUGCCUGGGCGUCAC
rnacentral:rRNA from 1 species